GACACUUUGGCCGAGUGGUCUUAGGCGUCAGAUUUAGGCUCUGGUCCGAAAGGCGUGGGCUCAAAUGCCACAGCUAUCA
rnacentral:tRNA from 1 species